rnacentral:rRNA from 1 species
UAACGCGUAGGUAACCUGCCUGGUAGCGGGGGAUAACUAUUGGAAACGAUAGCUAAUACCGCAUAAUAUUAAUUAUUGCAUGAUAAUUGAUUAAAAGGUGCAAUUGCACCACUACCAGAUGGACCUGCGUUGUAUUAGCUAGUAGGUGAGGUAACGGCUCACCUAGGCGACGAUACAUAGCCGACCUGAGAGGGUGAUCGGCCACACUGGGACUGAGACACGGCCCAG